rnacentral:rRNA from 1 species
CGGACGGGUGAGUAACGCGUGAGAAUCUGCCCUCAGGAGGGGGAUAACAGUUGGAAACGACUGCUAAUACCCCAUAUGCCGAGAGGUGAAACGAAUUUCGCCUGGGGAUGAGCUCGCGUCUGAUUAGCUUGUUGGUGGGGUAAUGGCUUACCAAGGCUUCGAUCAGUAGCUGGUCUGAGAGGACGAUCAGCCACACUGGGACUGAGACACGGCCCAGACUCCUACGGGAGGCAGCAGUGGGGAAUUUUCCGCAAUGGGCGCAAGCCUGACGGAGCAACGCCGCGUGAGGGAUGGAGGCCUUUGGGCUGUAAACCUCUUUUCUCAAGGAAGAAGAUCUGACGGUACUUGAGGAAUAAGCCACGGCUAAUUCCGUGCCAGCAGCCGCGGUAAUACGGGAGUGGCAAGCGUUAUCCGGAAUUAUUGGGCGUAAAGCGUCCGCAGGCGGCCGUUUAAGUCUGUUGUUAAAUCGUGGAGCUCAACUCCAUCACGGCAAUGGAAACUGUUCGGCUUGAGUAUGGUAGGGGCAGAGGGAAUUUCCGGUGUAGCGGUGAAAUGCGUAGAUAUCGGGAAGAACACCAGUGGCAAAAGCGCUCUGCUGGGCCAUUACUGACGCUCAUGGACGAAAGCCAGGGGAGCGAAAGGGAUUAGAUACCCCAGUAGUC